rnacentral:rRNA from 1 species
UACGGGGGGGGCAAGCGUUGUUCGGAAUUACUGGGCGUAAAGGGCUCGUAGGCGGCCAACUAAGUCAGACGUGAAAUCCCUCGGCUUAACCGGGGAACUGCGUCUGAUACUGGAUGGCUUGAGAUUGGGAGAGGGAUGCGGAAUUCCAGGUGUAGCGGUGAAAUGCGUAGAUAUCCGGGGGCACACCGGUGGCGAAGGCGGCUUCCUGGGCCGACACUGACGCUGAGGAGCGAAAGCAUGGGGAGCGAACAGG